UCGUGGCGCCGCCUGGGGGUCCCUGCGCCCCGGAAAGAGACAGCAGGCACUGGAAAGCGAGGCCGGUGGGCGGGCGAGUCGGGAGGCUCGGGCGGCCGAGGUCCGGGAGCGGAUCCCAGGUGGCGGGAGCUGUUGCCACGCUGGCUCCCACCGGCCUCUUUCCAGAUCAUGAAGGUAUUUUUCCUUCAUCAAAUUGAGAGGAAGUCCGUAGUAAAGCUGCCCGUUGACCAGGUAGUGCCGAGAGAAUCGGUGCCCUGGCAGGAGGGACUGGCUUAUGCCACCCUGUGCAGGAUCGUCUUCUCAGCUUACAGAGCCUAGUGUGAUUCAACAACCCUCCAUCUCUGCCCCCAACAUGCCCAACUGAUCUGGUGGAGGGAACUGAAGAUGAAGGCCUCUCAGGCACCAUGGAUGGGAUGGGUGUGUGUGAAGGGGGCAGGGUCCCCAGGAGCUGCCCCAGGUCUGGCUGGACAGUUGCACGGGAAGUCCUGUUUGUGAACUCAACGUUUCCACGGCUUUUCCAUUAAACUUUACCCCAAAUC
ensembl:lncRNA TBX2-AS1 TBX2 antisense RNA 1